AUUUAUUUACAAUCCAAGGCAGCAGAGCCAUCAAAUUCACAUGUAACUAUAGUGUCCCCUUUCCAGUGUUAACAGUUUCCAGAAGCUGACAUUUCAUUUGUGCGUAUGUAUGUGUAUUUUACUCAAGUUGGGUUCUCCCACAAAAACAGGGAAGAGCUAUUUACAGGUGAGACUAGUCUGCUUCCUUAUGCCCUGAGGGUUUGGUGAGGGAGGAGCUCAGGUUUAAAUCUUCAACGUCAGCCUAACUGCCUCUCGCUGCAGGAUUUCUCUGAGCUCCUUGUGGAGAGAGGAAGUUCCUGGGACCUCUGUUCUGAGAGCAAACACUCACGAUGGGGAGGAACUCAGAACCACUUUGUAAAGAAGUAUGACAACAGGAGCAGAGACAUGGAUAUGCAUGGUGAUGUUGGGAGAAGAGUGCAUCUCACUGGGGACUGAAGAUCUGUGAUGGAGAUCUAGCCCAGACUGCAGUAGAGAUGGGCAUGAAUCAGAAAAAUGGAAAGAGCUGAAGACUUCAGGACCCUUCGAGCAAAAUUCCAAAAUGAAUCCAGCAAGCCCUCAGGAGAAAUCAGCCUACGGCAACAUCUUGGUGCCAGUUCAACACCUUCUCCUGAACCCAAGACUGUGCAUCGAGUACAACCUCCAGAAAUCAUCCCACGGCAAGGUCCCACUUCUAAGGCUGCCCCUUGUGCCAAGCCCAGGUCCUCACACCUGUCACAAGUCCCAGAUCAUGAGCAAAAGCCUGCAUAUAUCAGCUUAGCAGCAGCUGAAUCACAACUCAGUGGCACAUCCCAGAAAUCUGAGACAACACCUAUCAAACCUAUGGUCCUGCCCAGAGUCAAACUUUGUGAGUUGUCUGAAAUAAGGAAAAAGAAUGAAAAGAAAGCUACGGAGUCUCCAGAAACUCCGUGGAAAGCAUCUGUGCCUGUGGCCCAUCCUCAAAAACAACGUCCAGUGUCCUGUGGCUACUCUCAAGAAGCCGGGUUAGCAGAUCAUUCUUUCCACAGCACUCUGCGCAUUUGGGAAAGUGCUGCAGCAUUUCAGGGAGACCAGAUGUCUUCCACAUUGCCACCCCAACGCCCAAAACGGACAACAUCUCUUGCACAGCUAAGCACUAGCAAUAAUAAUUCUGUCACUGUGGAGGAGAAAGCUGAAAUGUGUGAAAAUGUCCAAGCCUUGACACUUGCUGCACCACAGAAGCCUUCUCAAGGGGACCUGACUCCUUUUCCCGCGGUGUCACCACCUCUUCCACCGAGGGGCCAAACAGGUUCAGAGAAUUUGACACCUGGAGGUCUUAAAAUUAUAAAUUCUUCCCCCAGUACUAAUAAGAUGGGCAGACCAAGCAAGACUCUGCAGUCUUUAACUGAAAGGCAAAAUGAUGCUGAAGAACUCAAGCUUCCAAAAACUAAGCCACUUCCGUCCAUUGUAUCACUUGGUCCUCCACCAAAGAAACCAGCAAGGCCUCCCAAGGUAGAUCUUAGUCCUUUCUGUCGGAACCUUCCAGAUGCUACAGAUGAUGCAUAUAUCACUCCUGAAAUAACGGAUGACUUGAACAUGUAUGAAGAAUCAAUGUCUUACCUGACCCAGCCAGAGAGUUCCAUUAAUUCUGAUCAGGAACUUGCACACCGUGAGUUCUAUCAAUUGCUUCCUUCCUUCACACAUUCCAUUGUUAGCUAUCUAUUUCCAGAGUACAUCAGUUUGUAGUAAGUAUAAGCUUGGCUAGCCCUGCAGUGGGUAGCAAUGGAUAUCUUCAGUAUGAUGUUUUACCCCACAAUUCCACAUGAAAAUACAUGCACACUGUUGUGUAUUUCUGUACACAUUUCUCUUAAUUCUUAUUUGUAUAUAUUUGUCCAACACACAUUUUUUACAAGCAUUUCUCCCUAAUGUAUUGAAAUGUUCUACUAGCGCUGUAAUCUUGUUGUGGAGCUAUGAGUACAUAAUAUGAAGCUGCCUCAGCAGUAGGAAGAAUCACAACAAGGUAAAAGUGCUAUUCACAAAGCAUUUCUGCAUGCUUGUUGUGCAACGGGCACACUGUAAACUAUGUGACUGAUUGCACAACCAAAGAGUGCAAUGAUUACUGUUUGGAUGUAACACUAGGUAUACUUAUGCUGGCAUAACUUUAUGUUACACCAAAAUGAACACUUGUUUUAAAUGUGUUUUAGUACUGAUUUUGUUUACCAUUUUUAUAUAUACUAUUUGUUUCAUUUUUUAAAAGAUUUGUAUGCUUACUGUUUUCAGCUUUUAAAUACUGUCUUUUUAAUUAUGUACGUUACCUUGGGUCCUUUUAAAAGAGAAAGGCAGGAUAAAAAUAUUUUCAAUAAAUAAAUAAAUGCACAGUAAACA
rnacentral:lncRNA from 1 species